AUGGAGCUCCGCCACCGGCCGAGUCCGGCGCGACCGACUAGAUCCGGUCGCCCCUCGUCUUCCCCUCCACGCAAGCACCUGCGAGCCACCCGGUCUUCCCGGAGCUCUUCACCGCGUCUACACCAAGUCCCCGUUAGAUGCGACCAUGACCCUCCGCACAACAGUUCCACCGGGAAUCAAACCAGAACGAUGCGUCGCAUCCGAAUCCGCACGUCCCGUGGCCGCCCACUUUCCACACCUCUAUUUCAUUCGAGUGAGGAGGAUGCCCCAUCUUCCAUUGACCGCAUCGUGCUGGCCUGGCACCGCGCCAAUGCACGGGCCAUGAUCUCCCCAAGGCUCAGCCGCCUACUUCCUUCUAGAUGGCCCGCUACCUCCUCCACCUUUUAA
rnacentral:rRNA from 1 species